rnacentral:rRNA from 1 species
CUAAAGCCUUUCAGGUAUGAUUCUGUGGAGCGUGAGGAGUUAAACGCCUUCAUGCCUGCAUAUUCGUGCUCUUGGGUGUACUUGCUCGUGUGGUUGGUUAACAUCAAUUUCGGUUAUCAUAAAAUGGUUGGAGGAAUGUAGCUUCGAUUUCGAUUGAAGUGUUAUAGCCUUUGGCAGAUGUGAUGAUCGGGAUUGAGGAUUGCAACGGAUACCCUUCGGGGCUACCUGUCUGAUCUCUGAUCGUUGCUCUGGUGCCGAAAGCUUGCUUACGGUUAUCAAAGUCGAUGGUCAACAGGUUAGAAUGGGUUAAAUUCGUUAAGGAUGUUGACGUA